rnacentral:rRNA from 1 species
GACGAACGCUGGCGGCGUGCUUAACCCAUGCAAGUCGAACGGAAAGGCCCUGCUUUUGUGGGGUGCUCGAGUGGCGAACGGGUGAGUCACACGUGAGUAACCUGCCCUUGACUUUGGGCUAACUUCAGGCAACUUGGUCUACUACCGGAUAGGAUCUCCUGCUGCAUGGUGGGGGUUGGAAAGAUUCGCCGGCUGGGGGUGUACUCGCGUCUUAUCACCUUGUUUUUGGGUUGGUGGCUUACCAAGGCUUUGACGGGUAGCCGGCCUGAGAGGGUGACCGGCCUCAUUGGGACUGAGAUACGGCCCAGACUCCUACGGGAGGCAGCAGUGGGGAAUAUUGCACCAUGGGCGGAAGCCUGACGCAGCAACGCCGCGUGCGGGAUGACGGCCUUCGGGUUGUAACCCGCUUUCGCCUGUGACGAAGCGUGAGUGACGGUAAUGGGUAAAGAAGCACCGGCUAACUACGUG